GAGCUUUUCUCAUCACUUGGCGUCCGUCGUCCGUCGUCCGUAAACUUUUACAAAAAUCUUCUCCUCUGAAACUACUUGGCCAAAUUCUACCAAACUUGGCCACAAUCAUCCUUGGGGUAUCUAGUUUAAAAAAUGUGUGGCGUGACCCGUCAAACCUACCAAGAUGGCCGCCAUGGCUAAAAAUAGAACAUAGGGGUAAAAUGCAGUUUUUGGCUUAUAACUCAAAAACCAAAGCAUUUAGAGCAAAUCUGACAAGGGGUAAAAUUGUUGAUCAGGUCAAGAUCUAUCUGCCCUGAAUUUUUUUGACGAAUCGGACUACCUGUUGUUGGGUUGCUGCC
rnacentral:lncRNA from 1 species